GACAGAGGUGCCGAGCGUUAGGCGGAAUCACUGGGCUUAAAGCGUGUGUAGGCGGACUUCUAAGUACCUUGUCGAAAUCCCACGGCUUAACCGUGGAACUGCUUGGUAUACUGGUUGUCUUGGGCCAUCUAGGGGCUACUGGAACAAACGGUGGAGCGGUGAAAUGCGUAGAUAUCGUUUGGAACGCCAAUGGUGAAAACAAGUAGCUGGGGAUGUGCCGACGCUGAGACACGAAAGCCAGGGGAGCGAACGGGG
rnacentral:rRNA from 1 species